rnacentral:rRNA from 1 species
UUGGAGGGCAAGUCUGGUGCCAGCAGCCGCGGUAAUUCCAGCUCCAAUAGCGUAUAUUAAAGUUGUUGCAGUUAAAAAGCUCGUAGUUGAAUUUCGGGAUCAGUACGCUGGUCGUGCCUUCGGUAUGCACUGGUGUCACUGGUUCCUCCUUCUGACGAACCGUCAUGCCAUUCACUUGGUGUGGCGGGAAAUCAGGACUGUUACUUUGAAAAAUUGAGUGUUUAAAGCAGGCUCACGCUUGAAUACAUUAGCAUGGAAUAAUGAAAUAGGACGUUGAUCUUAUUUGUGGUUUCUAGGAUUGACGUAAUGAUUAAUAGGGAUAGUUGGGGGCAUUAGUAUUCAAUUGUCAGAGGUGAAAUUCUUGGAUUUAUGAAGACUAACUACUGCGUAGAGCAUUUGCCAAGGAUGUUUUCAUUAAUCA